ACGAGAAAUGAACUUUAUUGUAGAGAACGUUAAGCUCAAAUUUCGAUGCGAUGCCACAAGUGGUGCGACGUCUUAAGCUAUGGCGUAUGGCGCUAUCUAAGGCAAUAGAUAAUAACAUAAUAAGUUACUUCUUAUUAUUAAUCUGAAAUCAACCCUACUGUAUAAGGAAUAGAGUUGAAACUCAUUUAAAAGGGUAAAUAAAUGCUUACUUAUAUUUAAACACAGACAGCCGCCGAGAGAUGGCACCACCGUGUCGAACAGUAGACGAGGUUCAUGUAUUAUAAUCUAAAAUCAACCCUACUGUAUUUGAAAUAGAGGUGCUAUUAAUUUAGAACAGUAUACAGACUUACUUAUAUUUAAACACAUCGACAGCUGCCGAUAGAUGGCACUGCCGUGUCGAACAGUAGACGAGGUUCAUGUGAAUCUAAAAUCAACCCUACUGUACUUGAAAUAGAGUUGCUAUUAAUUAAGA